GACGAACGCUGGCGGCGUGCCUAAUACAUGCAAGUAGAACGCACAGUUUAUACCGUAGCUUGCUACACCAUAGACUGUGAGUUGCGAACGGGUGAGUAACGCGUAGGUAACCUGCCUGGUAGCGGGGGAGAACUAUUGGAAACGAUAGCUAAUACCGCAUAAUAUUAAUUAUUGCAUGAUAAUUAAUUGAAAGGUGCAAUUGCACCACUACCAGAUGGACCUGCGUUGUAUUAGCUAGUAGGUGAGGUAACGGCUCACCUAGGCGACGAUACAUAGCCGACCUGAGAGGGUGAUCGGCCACCAUGGGACUGGGACACGGCCCCAACUCCUACGGGAGGCAGCAGUAGGGAAUCUUCGGGCAAGGACGGAAGUCUGACCGAGCAACGCCGGGUGAGUGAAGGAGGUUUUCGGGUCGUAAAGCUCUGUUGUAAGGGAAGGAAGGGUGUGGGAGUGGAAAGUUCACACUGUGACGGUAUCUUACCAGAAAGGGACGGCUAACUACGUG
rnacentral:rRNA from 1 species